rnacentral:rRNA from 1 species
CCCGAUGGAGGGGGAUAACUACUGGAAACGGUAGCUAAUACCGCAUAACGUCGCAAGACCAAAGAGGGGGACCUUCGGGCCUCUUGCCAUCAGAUGUGCCCAGAUGGGAUUAGCUAGUAGGUGGGGUAACGGCUCACCUAGGCGACGAUCCCUAGCUGGUCUGAGAGGAUGACCAGCCACACUGGAACUGAGACACGGUCCAGACUCCUACGGGAGGCAGCAGUGGGGAAUAUUGCACAAUGGGCGCAAGCCUGAUGCAGCCAUGCCGCGUGUAUGAAGAAGGCCUUCGGGUUGUAAAGUACUUUCAGCGGGGAGGAAGGCGAUAAGGUUAAUAACCUUGUCGAUUGACGUUACCCGCAGAAGAAGCACCGGCUAACUCCGUGCCAGCAGCCGCGGUAAU